rnacentral:rRNA from 1 species
CCAAAAUUAAACGGCCGCGGUAUCCUAACCGUGCAAAGGUAGCAUAAUAAUUUGUUCCCUAAUUAGGGACUAGUAUGAACGGCUAAACGAGGAUUCAACUGUCUCUUAUUCUUAAUCAGUGAAAUUGACCUUCCAGUGAAGAGGCCGGAAUAAAACAAUAAGACGAGAAGACCCUAUGGAGCUUUAAUUAAUUAACUUAAUUAUUAAACCCAAAUCCUAAUGGAAUAAAAAUAUAAAUAUAAGAUAACAAUUUCGGUUGGGGUGACCUCGGAGAACAAAAAAACCUCCGAAUGAUURUAGCAAAGACAAACAAGUCAAAGCAAAACAUAAAAUCUUAUUGACCCAAAACAUUUUGACCAACGGACCAAGUUACCCUAGGGAUAACAGCGCAAUCCUAUUUAAGAGUUCCUAUCGACAAUUAGGGUUUACGACCUCGAUGUUGGAUCAGGA